UACGGAGGGGACUAGCGUUGUUCGGAAUUACUGGGCGUAAAGCGCACGUAGGCGGAUUUGUAAGUCAGGGGUGAAAUCCCGGGGCUCAACCUCGGAACUGCCUUUGAUACUGCAAAUCUUGAGUCCGGAAGAGGUGAGUGGAAUUCCUAGUGUAGAGGUGAAAUUCGUAGAUAUUAGGAAGAACACCAAUUGCGAAGGCAGCUCACUACGCGAAUAUUGACACUGAGGCACGAAAGCGUGGGGAUCAAACAGG
rnacentral:rRNA from 1 species